rnacentral:rRNA from 1 species
UACGAAGGGGGCUAGCGUUGUUCGGAAUCACUGGGCGUAAAGGGCGCGUAGGCGGCCGUUCAAGUCGGGGGUGAAAGCCUGUGGCUCAACCACAGAAUUGCCUUCGAUACUGUUCGGCUCGAGACCGGAAGAGGUUGGUGGAACUGCGAGUGUAGAGGUGAAAUUCGUAGAUAUUCGCAAGAACACUAGUGGCGAAGGCGGCCAACUGGUCCGGUUCUGACGCUGAGGCGCGAAAGCGUGGGGAGCAAACAGG